UUGAUUAAAGCCAAAGUAGAGGCACGUCAUUGUUAAUGACGACAUUGAAUUUUUUUCUAAUUAAU
rnacentral:tRNA from 1 species